rnacentral:rRNA from 1 species
UUGAACGCUGGCGGCAGGCCUAACACAUGCCAGUCGAACGGUAACAGGAAGCAGCUUGCUGCUUCGCUGACGAGUGGCGGACGGGUGAGUAAUGUCUGGGAAGCUGCCUGAUGGAGGGGGAUAACUACUGGAAACGGUAGCUAAUACCGCAUAAUGUCGCAAGACCAAAGAGGGGGACCUUCGGGCCUCUUGCCAUCGGAUGUGCCCAGAUGGGAUUAGCUUGUUGGUGGGGUAACGGCUCACCAAGGCGACGAUCCCUAGCUGGUCUGAGAGGAUGACCAGCCACACUGGAACUGAGACACGGUCCAGACUCCUACGGGAGGCAGCAGUGGGGAAUAUUGCACAAUGGGCGCAAGCCUGAUGCAGCCAUGCCGCGUGUAUGAAGAAGGCCUUCGGGUUGUAAAGUACUUUCAGCGGGGAGGAAGGGAGUAAAGUUAAUACCUUUGCUCAUUGACGUUACCCGCAGAAGAAGCACCGGCUAACUCCGUG